AUCUCCCCCUAGUCUACUAUGCAAUACCAAAACUGGAAUAAUGGACAGAGCUUCUCCAACCAUUAGUGAUCCCGGACUAACUAAGAAGUUGCAAAACAAGGACUUGUGACCAUCCUGAAAACCUGGAAACCCAUUAUCCACCAGAGAAGUCAAUUCUAUUGUCACUCAUGAGGUUACACAUCUCCCCUGUGCCGUAUUCCAUGUCUAUUUCUUUGCUACGAUGGCAAUUUUACUGGAUUUCACAUCUUUCCAGGUGCUCCUCAAAACAUUUCUGACAGAGGACUGAGAAGAAUAAUCAGAAGAGUUGUCCAAGAGCCAAGGACACUUGUGGAGAGCUUCAAAAAGAUCUGGAAUUAGCAGACAUGGAAGCGCAAUUUUGCGUGAAACAACUGUCACCCGGCAGAACACACUGGCGUCCGUGCGAUGAGUGGCUUGAUGUCCUGUGAUUUUACCUGCACAUGAAGAAAUAAAGAAAUUUCACUUAGCGGUCUGGCAGGAGAACGAAAUAAGGAAGUGCUUCUCUGCACAGAGCUUGAUUGACAGCUGCACAGAAAGUGAAAGCUCCACAGAUUCUCACAGAAAGCCACACAGACUGACAGCUGAAGGAGAACUUCACUGAAAUCUGCACAGACUUGAGGUCUCCUAUUCAUCACAGCACUGCAACAAUGUGAGGGCAGAAGUGGUCCCCCAGCAGGCUUCAGUGAUGUCAUGUCUGCUGGGAAACAUCCACUUUCUCCUGCUGGGAAAUUGCACUAUGCGAGCAAGAAGAAAGAACAGAAUCCUGUCCGGCAGCAGCAUCAUCUUCUUCCCAGGGGCAAUGUCCAGGAAGUGAGGGCAGGACUAGGACUCCUCUGUGCUCACUCCUAUCCCGUCAGACUCCAGCAUGAAAAGAAGGGGUGAGGGGUUACAGAGCAGCCUGCAGUGAGUGGAUGAAGAGACUGUAAUGUCCGUUUAUUUGUUUUUGUAUUUUUCUGUUUAGGUGUGUAUUCACAGACUAGUUUGUUCAGAGCAGUUUGCUAUUCCACCUGGAUAGGGAAUAGUUAAUGCUCUGUGUGAAUAGGAACUCUGGUGGAGUUAUUAAGCCAGAGUAAUCCUGCAUUCUGGUGCUGGUUAUUUUAGUCAAUGCCACCAUGUCUGCUUGAGCUUGCACCUUGUAUUUAUCUUGUGAUAUUAUCUGAGUUUUAGCCAUGGUUAAAUAGUCUUGUUCAUUGGAGCUUUCAGUCUGUGUUAGAUUUGUCGGUUUUAGGAUUAUGUCUGUUCAGCUUUGUCGGUAUUCACACUGUGUCUGAGUCUAGUCUGUACUUGUACCAGUCUUGUAUCUUGAGAAAUAUCCUGUCUAGUAUCCUGACCAUUGUUCCUCUAAGUUGUAGAGUUUGGUGUUCUUGUAUCCUUUUUUAUGAAGUCCAGUUUGUAUGUUCUGUUUCCCAGUGUGAACAGUGUCUUAUAUUUAUAUUCUGUUUGGUUAAUCUAUUCUUUGUAUUUGUACCUCUAUCAUCAUCUUCCAACCCAACGUGAUC